GUCAUAUGCUUGUCUCAAAGAUUAAGCCAUGCAUGUCUCAGUACAAGCCAAAUUAAGGUGAAACCGCGAAAGGCUCAUUAAAUCAGUUAUGGUUCCUUAGAUCGUACCCACAAUUACUUGGAUAACUGUGGUAAUUCUAGAGCUAAUACAUGCAAACAGAGCUCCGACCGGAGACGGAAGGAGUGCUUUUAUUAGAUCAAAACCAAUCGGUGUCGGGUUCGCUCGUUACCGUACAACUUGGUGACUCUGAAUAACUUUACGCUGAUCGCACGGUCAUCGCACCGGCGACGCAUCUUUCAAAUGUCUGCCUUAUCAACUGUCGAUGGUAGGUUCUGCGCCUACCAUGGUUGUAACGGGUAACGGGGAAUCAGGGUUCGAUUCCGGAGAGGGAGCCUGAGAAACGGCUACCACAUCCAAGGAAGGCAGCAGGCGCGCAAAUUACCCACUCCCGGCACGGGGAGGUAGUGACGAAAAAUAACGAUACGGGACUCAUCCGAGGCCCCGUAAUCGGAAUGAGUACACUCUAAACCCUUUAACGAGGAUCAAUUGGAGGGCAAGUCUGGUGCCAGCAGCCGCGGUAAUUCCAGCUCCAAUAGCGUAUAUUAAAGUUGUUGCGGUUAAAAAGCUCGUAGUCGAAUUUGUGUCUCGCGCCGCCGGUUCAUCGUCCGCGGUGUUAACUGGCGAGUCGCGAGACGUCCUGCCGGUGGGCUUAGCUCGCGAGGGCGGCCCAACUCAAUCCUGCCGCGGUGCUCUUCAUUGAGUGUCGAGGUGGGCCGGCACGUUUACUUUGAACAAAUUAGAGUGCUUAAAGCAGGCUAAAACUUCGCCUGAAUACUGUGUGCAUGGAAUAAUGGAAUAGGACCUCGGUUCUAUUUUGUUGGUUUUCGGAACCCCGAGGUAAUGAUUAAUAGGAACGGAUGGGGGCAUUCGUAUUGCGACGUUAGAGGUGAAAUUCUUGGAUCGUCGC
rnacentral:rRNA from 1 species